rnacentral:tRNA from 1 species
GGAGGGGUGGCCGAGAGGACGAAGGCGGCUGUCUUGAAAACAGCUUUGCGGUAACCCUGCAACGCGGGUUCGAAUCCCGCCCCCUCCG